ACUCAAAUGAAUUGACGGGGACCCGCACAAGCGGUGGAGCAUGUUGUUUAAUUCGAAGCAACGCGAAGAACCUUACCUACACUUGACAUACCUCUUAGGACUUUCAGAGAUGAUUGUUUUCGGUUCGGCCGGGGAGAGUACAGGUGCUGCAUGGCUGUCGUCAGCUCGUGUCGUGAGAUGUUGGGUUAAGUCCCGCAACGAGCGCAACCCUUAUCGUAUGUUGCCAGCAUUUAGUUGGGCACUCAUGCGAGACUGCCGGUGAUAAGCCGGAGGAAGGCGGGGACGACGUCAAGUCAUCAUGGCCCUUACGUGUAGGGCUACAAACGUGCUACAAUGGUAGUGACAGUGGGCACUGAGGCUGUGAGGCCAAAGUAAUCCCUAAAAGCUAUCUCAGUUCAGAUUGUAGUCUGCAACUCGACUACAUGAAGUUGGAAUCGCUAGUAAUCGUGAAUCAGCAUGUCACGGUGAAUACGUUCCCGGGUCUUGCACACACCGCCCGU
rnacentral:rRNA from 1 species